rnacentral:tRNA from 1 species
GCCUCCGUAGUUCAACGGAUAGAAUAGAGGUUUCCUAAACCUUAGAUAGGAGUUCGAUUCUCCUCGGAGGUACCA